UACGGGGGGGGUAAGCGUUGUUCGGAAUUACUGGGCGUAAAGGGCUCGUAGGUGGCCAACUAAGUCAGACGUGAAAUCCCUCGGCUUAACCGGGGAACUGCGUCUGAUACUGGAUGGCUUGAGUUUGGGAGAGGGAUGCGGAAUUCCAGGUGUAGCGGUGAAAUGCGUAGAUAUCUGGAGGAACACCGGUGGCGAAGGCGGCAUCCUGGACCAACACUGACACUGAUGAGCGAAAGCCGGGGGAGCAAACGGG
rnacentral:rRNA from 1 species